rnacentral:sRNA from 1 species
CCUGACAGGGCGGCAUCCGAGUGGUUGCUGCGCUGCGGGGCCAUGGUGCGCUACCAUGGCCAGGAGAGGUGGCAGAAGGACUACAACCACCUUCCAACAGGCCCUCUGGACAAAUACAAGAUUCAGGCGAUCGACGCCACCGACUCUUGUAUCAUGAGCAUUGGAUUUGAUCACAUGGAGGGCCUAGAGCAUGUUGAAAAAAUAAGGCUGUGCAAGUGUCAUUAUAUCGAGGAUGACUGUUUGCUGAGACUUAGUCAACUUGAAAAUUUACAAAAAACCAUAUUGGAAAUGGAAAUAAUAUCCUGUGGGAAUAUCACAGACAAAGGCAUCAUUGCUUUGCGUCAUUUAAGGUAGAUGAUCAAAGCCAAAGUGGAAACUUGAUAAUGCUGUUAAGGUGAAUAGUUAGAAUUUAAUUGACUGUGAGGGGUGGUGUCUUUUUUUAGUUGUAAAAAAGAUAAUUUUUAAAAAUGACCUCACUUUCAUCUGUAAUACUUUAAAACAGCUAAAAUGAUCAACCUUAAUACA